CCCCCGCCCCCCCCGCCCCGGGGGCCGGUUGCAGCCCGGCUGCGUGUGCGGAGGCGCAGGAAGGGGCUGGGACAAGGCUGAGCCGCCGAGCGGUGGGAGGGGGCGGCGGCGGCAGCGGCGCUGGGGACACCCCCCCCUUCACCCCCACCCCCCCACCCUGCACCCAGAGCUCGGCGGGGCGGUGGGCACCGAGACAGGGGAGGUAUGGGGUGGACGAGCAAGGAGGAGAACCCCGAGAAGGUCGUGGUGAAGGUGGAGCAAGGCGCGGGGGCGGUGGAAGGCGCUGCUGAAGAUGAGGAGGCAACGCGGGACGAAGGCUGCGGGAUCUGGAGGCCGGGAGGCGACGGCGUUGGGGUGAGGUGGGGAGAAACGGCCAACCAAGGCAACGCGGAUGAGCUGGGCGGAAGCGGGUCCCAGCCGAAGCCGAAACCCAAGCGGAAGCUGCACAAGUGCGAGGAGUGCGGCCGGGUCUUCAACUGGAGGAACCACCUCGUCCGCCACCAGCGCCUCCACACGGGCGAGCGGCCCUACAAGUGCUCCCUCUGCGGGAAGGGCUUCAACGACGGCUCCCCGCUGCUCAUCCACGAGAUGCUCCACCGCGGGGAGAAGCCCUACAAGUGCUUGGAUUGCGGGAAGAGCUUCAGCCAAAGCUCCCACCUCAUCUCCCACCAGGUGGUCCACACCGAUGAGAAACCCUACGUCUGUCCCGACUGCGGGAAGUGCUUCGCCCGGCAGCAAUAUCUCCUCAUGCACCGCCGCGUCCACACGGGCGAGAGACCCUACAAGUGCCGGGAUUGCGGGAAGAGCUUCCGGAAAAGCUCCGACCUGGUGAGACACAAGACGGUCCACACGGGCGAGAAACCCUUCAAGUGUCCCGUCUGCGGGAAGGGUUUCACCCAAAACUUCCGCUGUAACGCCCACAAGAAGGUCCACAGCAAGGAGGGGGAGGGCGGCCGAGCGGCGUCGCCGCCCCGGCACACGCAGCAGAGCAGCCGCCAGACCACGGUCCCACCAGCAGGUGACGGCGGCCACCGAGAGACUUCCCAGCCCGGAGACCCCCAGCAAGGAGGACGAGGCAGGUCCAGCUCGAGGAUGGAGGGCGGGGGCGGGCGUCGGGGUCCCGAGGAGCACAAAGCCCCCCCGGAGCGGCCGGGAGCGGGGCCGUGGCCUGGCGAGGGGCCGGCGCGGCCGCCUCCUCCUGCGGCCGCCUCGGAGGCGCCCGGGGGGACGUUCCCCGGCGAGGAGCGGGCGCACGAGCGGCGGCGAAGCUUCGGCUGCCGGAAGAGCCCGGGCCACCAGCGGCAGCCCCGUGGCCACCAGCGCCCCGGCCGCGGGAAGGGCUUCGGCGAGGGCUCCGACCUCGCGUCCCGGCGGCCGGAGGGACCCGCCGAGCCCCGGGGCCCGGCGAUAAGCCCGGAGCUCCUCCAGCGGGGCCCGCGCGCGGCCGAGAGGUCCCACCUCUGCUCCGAGUGCGGGAAGAGCUUCACGCGGAGGUUCAACCUCAAGCUCCACAAGAAGCUCCACACCGGGGAGAGGCCCCACAAGUGCCCCGAGUGCGGGCUGAGCUUCACCAACACGUCCCACCUCAUCGACCACCACCGACCCCGUUGGGGCAGGAAAGGACCGACCCCCCCGCUCCCCUCGAGCCUCUGCCCUGGCUCCGAUUCGCGCCGGAGCCUGAGCUGUUUAGAAAAGCAGGGAGGCUGCCGAGCGCUGGAAGAAGGGGGCGGCGGGUCCCGUCACCGGCUCCGGGUCGGGUGGGCGCGGGGCGUUACCCGCCAUGGAUAAAUGCCAAAGCCAAGCCCAGCCGGUGGGCGCGGGAGGCGGCAGCGUCCCCCCUGCGCCCGGCGCUGCAGGGAAGGGAGGGCCUGCUUCUCGCCGCUGCCUCGCGCCCAGGAGGGUCGGUCCCGGUUUCGGGGAGAGCUCUGGCGGCGCAGGGGGGACCGAGGAGCUCCUGACCCGCCAGGGAUCCGCGCGGUCGCAGGACCUCCGGCCGGCACCGAGGCGUUCUCGGGGAGAAGCUCCCAGCCCCGGCGCCAGGGGCUCUGAGCAAGGCGCCUGGAAGGGAAGAGGCAUUCCUCUCGCCCGAGGGGCGGCUGCCUGCCCGUGCGGUGCGGCGAAAGCCCCGCAGGGUGGGCUGCAAAGGUACCUAAGGCAAGGAUGCCGUGCCAGGGGCCGGCCGCGCGUAGGGCGCCGGGGCGUGUGGGCUGGUGCUGGUGGCUGCUCGUUCUGGGUGGCCAGAAGCCUCUCCCUGUGGCACCCCUCAGGCUGGAGAAGCAGUCCCAGUGGCACUGGAAGGAAUAAGCCCUGGUUUCGGGAUGCCGAUUGGAACGCCCUCAGAGCGAGGAGCCCGUCUGGUGGCAAAAGUCAUCCGCUCACUGGGAAGGCGAUGCGCGAGGCAGCGGGACGGACACACACCGUGGAGGCCGCGGUCUAGUGGGAAGGUGGAAAGAAUGAGGCAAACGAAGCAAAGGCAGGUGAGCAGAAUUUGUCAGGAAGAGCAGCUCAAGCGGCCGGACGCUCUCCCGGCCGCGUCGCCAAGAGCAGGGGUUGCAGCGAGACCCAGAGAAAGGGUCGGCCCUUUUGAAAUACCGCAGGGGAGGCCUGAUGGAAGCCUAAAUCGUGAGCCGGGCCCGACAGAGUCAGUAGGGAAAGAGUGUCUUAAAGAGGAUGGGAUUCCUCCAGGGCAGGUUUUGUCUUCCCUGAAGAGGUGAGCUGAGCUCACCCUUAGGCCCGGCUCCUGCGGCCCCCAAAUUUGGGUCAGGAGAGGGGCUCUGUCUAAGGACGUGGCACGCGGGACCUGUGGCAGGACGUUGGGAAGGAGCCUCUCGAGCCCUCCUGACUACAUCUGCGGCAGCCAGGCUUGAUGGAGGGGGGCCGCGGGCUCGUCACAGCCGGCUCGGGGCAGGACGCCCACCAGGUACGUGGGCUGUGGGGAAACAGAACAAAAGCCCCUGGAAAGGGGCGAGUCGUGAGUCGUGCCUGGGCUCCGGGCAUGGCUUAUGCGGAUUUAGGCCGUGCACAGGGCGCGCUCUCCGUUGCAGGUAUUGCAGUUUUGUGGGGGACGGUGAUAGAGACACGGAGGCCAAAACUCUAACUGUUGUAAUGCCGCCAGCAGAAAGUGAAGGAUUAGAGGCCAGUUUCGUUCUGAAGUUAGGUCCGGGCUUCGGGAAGGUGCCCAACACCUCGAGUAUUUCUCCUUGUGUCCCCACCUGAGGCGCACCGGAGCAGAAACCCCGCAGGAUGCGGCCCCCGGGCCCGGCAGGGAGGUCAGUCAGUGCCUUUGGUCAAGGCCCGCAGAGGGCCGAGAGCAGACGGUACGUGCUCCUCACACACGGACAGAGCCACAACAGCAGCCGCAGCACGUGGGACCCGAUUCUCCUCCUGUUAUUCCUGUAAGCCAGAAAGCCGGGCAGGUCCUGGGGAGCGGGCGCCGCGCUCGGCCUGGGACGGAGAGCCACAGACUUCGGGUUUGGAAGGGCGGGUGGACGGUCCCUCGCAGGGCGGUUUGGUCCCGGGUUCGGUUGUUCCAGGGGUUGCGACGCCCACCCUGGCAACGACAACGAGCCGCAUGAAGGCGGCGAUGCCGAGGCCUGUCUUUGUCGGCAGCGUAACACGGGCCACAGAUUAUGGACGUCCCGGGUGAAACGUCUGCAACUCCCAAAGGGGGGAAUUGUGACGGCAAACGUGCCUGUUCUUCUGGGAUGCGGCGGGGUAGCGCAGGAGUUAGUCGUGGUUAAGAGAGGGUCAGCGUGAGGGGUGGCAACUGACCCCUGAGAACCUUCCCGAGGCAGUAAAUAACGCUGGGGCCGGGCGAGAGGGUAUCGGCAACGCACGCCGCGCUGGCGAGGGCCUGCGGAAAGCCUGGCAGCGGGGCCGUCCUGCCGCAGAGAGGGGGGGAGGUAAGGGGAGGCCAGGGGGGACGUCCCCAGCGGUGAAAGGGAACUUCUGGGCCCAGAAGGCGCCGAAUCGGCGGCGGGGGGAGGUGGCGACCGCCCGCUCAGCGGGGGCACGACAGGAGCGACCCCCGCGCCCCUCUCGAGCCUCUGCAGGGAAUGAAAUUCACGCUGGAGCUGGAGCCUUCAGCAAAGAAGCUGCAGAGCACUGGGAGGAGCGGGCGCUGGGCCAGGCCAAGGGUGAGGCAGGCGCGGUGCGGUGGCUGCCACGGGCCCCGCCGGGGCCCCCAGAGCUGGGGUCCCGAAGAGCGGGUUCCUUCGCCCGCGCUGCAAAACGCCAACCCCCGCCCAGAGCCGCGGGGUUUGGAUGGGCCCGUUUGGGGGCUGGGCUGGGGGCUGGGCGGUGACUGCACAGAGCUGCCGUGCGCUGCGAGGCGUUGGCACAGCGCCCUGUGCCCGUGACAGCCCACACCCGCACUGCCGCCCAUCGAGCUGCUGCUCAGGCCUCGUCUCGCUCCGCUCGAGAGGUUCAGCUGCCUGUCAGUGCCCCACGCGUGCUCCGAGAGCGAGGGGCUCGUUGGAGCAGGGGGGUUUCUGCCCUGCUUUGGGGGAUGCUGGGCGCUCUAAUGGGGAGAGUUCACCUAGAGGCCCCUCCGUGUUAGCUCUUGCCAACACCCCGACUCCUUGCAGGCACCUGCUGGAAGAACAACGCGGCAGCUCGCGCGUCACCCACCGAGUGCCCGGACGCGCAGAGGACCGCUUCCUCGCACAGGCGUGCGAUGGGCCAAGCAGGGAGGAGGCGCUGCUGGACUUGCCGCGCACAGGCCGAGAAAGCCUGCUGUGCCAUAUCCCGGUCAGCGACAGCCUCGGCUGCACCGGCCACAGCGUUGUGGGGCUGGGGAUGCUGCUGAGCGUGCCGGAGGUCAGCUCUCAGGCAAGGGUUCUGGAUUUCGGAAGAGCAAACUUCAGCUCACUCAGGGCUCGGCUGGGAGGGGUUCGGUGGGAGGCUUCCGUGGAAGACAACGGAGCCGGUGAGAGCUGGGGGUUCUUCAAGAACUCUCUCUUGGAAGCACAAAGCCAGUUCAUCCCCUACAAAGGAAAGGGCAGUAAGCGCAGCAAGAGGCCCCCGUGGCUCAACCAUGACCUCCUGGGUCUACUCAAAUGCAAACUGAACCAAACACCGACCCACCAGCGGUGCAGGAAGAGCUAGUGUAUGAACUACUGCAGGAGCUUGACCCCCACAAAUCCAUGGGCCCUGGCGCCAUCCACCCGAGGGUGUGAGAGAGCUGGCUGACAUCAUCGCAAGGCCGCUCUCCAUCAUCUUUGAGAAGUCACGGAGGACGGGGGAUGUCCCAGAGCACUGGAGGAAGGCAAAUGUUGUCCCCAUCUACAGGAAGGGCUGGAGGGAGGAUCCGGGUAACUCUAGGCCCAUCAGCCUUACUUCAGUCCCUGGGAAAGUUAUGGAACGACUCCUCCUGGGGGCCGUCACAAGUCAAGUGAAGCCCGUGAUUGGGAAAGGCCAACAUGGCUUCGCUAAGGGCAGAUCGUGCUUGACUAACCUGGUGGCCUUCUAGGACACAGUGACUUGCCUGGCUGACGUGGGGCGGGCGGUGGACAUUGUCUACCUGGACCUCUCCAGGGCCUUUGAUACGGUCCCCCACAGCCUCCUCCUGGAGAGAUUGAUGUGUUAUGGCCCAGACGAGGGGUCUGUGCAGUGGGUGGGGACCUGGCUGACGGGCCGCACCCACCGGGUGGUGGUAAAUAGCUCCUUCUCAGACUGGCAACCUGUCACUGGUGGGGUCCCCCAGGGAUCGAUAUUGGGCCCAAUGUUAUUCAGCAUCUUUAUAAGUGAUCUGGGUACCGGCAUCAAGCGUGGCCUGAUGGAGUUUGCUGAUGACAGCAAGGUGAGUGGGGAAGCAGACACUCCAGAGGGGAGAGCUGCUCUGCAGGGGGGUCUGGGUAGGCUGGAGGAGUGGGCCAGCAAGAGCCUUAUGAAGGUCAACAAGGACAAGUGGAAGGUCCUGCACCUGGGAAAACAUAAUCGGGGAGUGCAGCACAGCCUGGGACCCACCUGGCUGGGGAGCAGCUCUGUGGGGAGGGACCUGGGGGUCCUGGUGGGGGGAAGCUCAACGUGAGCCAACAGUGGCUGCUGCGGCCAAGAAGGCCAACGGGAUGCUGGGUUGUGUCAACAAGGGCAUCGCCAGCAGAGAGAAAGAAGUCAUCAUCCCGCUCUACUCAGUGCUGGCCAGGCCACCCCUGGAGCGCUGUGUCCAGUUCUGGUCCCCGCUGUACAAACAGGAUGGGACAGGCUGGAAGGGGCCCAGAGAGGGGCCGCCAGGAUGGUCAGAGGACUGGGAAGCUGCCGUACGAGGAUGGGCUGGGAGAGCUGGGUUUGUUCAGCCUUGAGAAAAGGAGGCUCAGAGGGGGUCUCAUCCCCGUGUACCAGGACUAAGCGGCAGCUACAAAGGAGAUGGAGACUCCCUUUUAUUUUGAACAAACAAUACUCAUCGAUAAAGCCAAGGGUGGGCUGUGCGUGAGGCCCGUGAGGUGGGGGCGGCUUGGGGGCAACGUGGUUGCACCCAGGGAAUGCGUGGGAAUGCCUGAAACAAAAGGAGGGGGAUUUUUCUCUUCUGCUGGGUGGGUUUUUAACUCUUUCUUUGUAUUUCUCUUAAACCUGUUUCCCUCCUCUGCUCCUCAAACUGAUAAUUGCAGCCGCGUCUGGCAAAUGCCCUUCCCUGGGGUGUCGAAAUGGGAAAGAAUAAACUCUCUGAGCUGCUCCCA